AAUCAACGCUGGCGGUGUGCCUCAGACAUGCAAGUCGAACGAUUAAAGCUCUCUUCGGAGAGUGUAUAGAGUGGCGCACGGGUGAGUAACACGUAAGUAAUCUACCCUCGAGUGGGGAAUAACAACCGGAAACGGUUGCUAAUACCGCAUAAUGCAGCGGCACCGCAAGGUGACAGUUGUUAAAGAUUUAUCGCUUGAGGAGGAGCUUGCGGCAGAUUAGCUAGUUGGUAGGGUAACGGCUUACCAAGGCUACGAUCUGUAACCGGUCUAAGAGGACGGUCGGUCACACUGACACUGAAUAACGGGUCAGACUCCUACGGGAGGCAGCAGUCGGGAAUUUGGGCAAUGGGCGAAAGCCUGACCCAGCAACGCCGCGUGAAGGAUGAAGUAUUCGGUAUGUAACUUCGAAAGAAUAGGAAGAAUUAAUGACGGUACUAUUAUAAGGUCCGGCUAACUACGUGCCAGCAGCCGCGGUAAU
rnacentral:rRNA from 1 species